rnacentral:rRNA from 1 species
GAUGAACGCUGGCGGCGUGCCUAAUACAUGCAAGUCGAGCGAACGGACGAGAAGCUUGCUUCUCUGAUGUUAGCGGCGGACGGGUGAGUAACACGUGGAUAACCUACCUAUAAGACUGGGAUAACUUCGGGAAACCGGAGCUAAUACCGGAUAAUAUUUUGAACCGCAUGGUUCAAAAGUGAAAGACGGUCUUGCUGUCACUUAUAGAUGGAUCCGCGCUGCAUUAGCUAGUUGGUAAGAUAACGGCUUACCAAGGCAACGAUGCAUAGCCGACCUGAGAGGGUGAUCGGCCACACUGGAACUGAGACACGGUCCAGACUCCUACGGGAGGCAGCCGUAGGGAAUCUUCCGCAAUGGGCGAAAGCCUGACGGAGCAACGCCGCGUGAGUGAUGAAGGUCUUCGGAUCGUAAAACUCUGUUAUUAGGGAAGAACAUAUGUGUAAGUAACUGUGCACAUCUUGACGGUACCUAAUCAGAAAGCCACGGCUAACUACGUG